UCUAAUUACCUUCAAAAUUAUCUUCUUCUCCUGUGAUAAUUGCAAUCCAUUGAUAUCUCUUUGACAGCACAAGCAGUGGGCAGCCAGAAAGUAGAAGAGAUGAACUCAGUAGUAACUGCAAAAGCUAACAUAAGAUGCUCUUUCUUACAUUUGUUACCUUUUAAUAAUAAAACCUUACUUUCUUCUAUUUCCAACCCCAGAAGUACAAUUGGAUUAAACUUCUUGUUGCCCCACAAAACUAAAGCCAAAACCAACUACUGCUAUCACUCUCGCUUGAGCCAUGUCCUUUCAGUAUCAUCGUCGGAUGGUGCCGAUGUUGUUGUGGAGGAUGACCUGCAGGAGUUCUUGGAUAUUCUUCCACCUGAUUUGCACGACAUUCUUCUAAAUGAUUCCAACAGAGCUCAACUGUUAGAGGUUAUAUUGGACCUUGGUCGCUUGCCUGAGGCACGCUAUCUGGGUGAAUUUGGUGGCCGGUAUUUAAGGAAUACUGAGGUAACAAUGGAAGAAUUAGAGUUUGCUCAAAAUGCUGUUGGAGAAUUUGGAGGUGAUAAUAGGGCUGGCAUUGAGGGGACCCUACACAGAAUAUCUGCAAUCCGGAGUAGGAAAGGGUUGAUAGUUGGUUUGACUUGUCGAGUUGGCAGGGCAGUCAGUGGUCAUGUUGACAUGGUUCAUGAUCUGCUUCAUUAUGGAAAGAGCAUCUUAUUUGUUGGAAGGCCUGGAGUUGGCAAGACUACUGUCAUGCGAGAGAUUGCACGUGUCCUGUCAGAUAAACUUGACAAAAGAGUGGUGGUUGUUGAUACAAGCAAUGAAAUAGGAGGGGAUGGGGAUAUUCCACAUGCAGCAGUAGGAGGUGCAAGAAGAAUGCAGGUUCCAGAUCCAUCUCUGCAGCACAAGGUCAUGAUUGAGGCAGUAGAGAAUCACAUGCCUGAAGUAAUCAUUGUUGAUGAGAUAGGCACGGAGGCUGAAGCUCUUGCUUGCCGUUCAAUUGCUGAGAGAGGCAUUAUGCUUAUUGGUACUGCUCAUGGAGAGCGACUUGAAAACAUAAUUAAGAAUCCAACUCUUUCUAACCUGAUUGGAGGAAUAGAAACUGUUAUCUUAGGAGAUGAAGAAGCCCGGGCUAGGAGGAGUCAGAAAAGCAUUCUUGAAAGAAAGGGCCCUCCGACCUUUUAUUUCUUGAUUGAGAUGAGAGAGAGGCAUCAUUGGGUUACCCAUCUGGAAUUUAGCAGUUUACUCAAAAGGUGAGGGCAGUAAGCAUGACCAAUAUGUGAAUUACUGGACACAACAUGUUCACUUAACUGGAGCUGCACUUUUUGCAGACAGAGAAGAGUGUGGAUAUGUUGCUUCGUGGAGAAAACCCAUCAGUUGAGGUUAGGAGGAGGAAUGAUCAAUUCAAGGUUGUAAUAGAAAGAUGGAAGGCAUAUGAUGGAAAUGCCGUUUAGUCUUUUUCGUACUGUUCACUUUCUGCAGAGCUCAUACUUUUUCUCUCUUCCCAUAAACGGUUUAGUACUUGUCAUUAUACAUUUCAUGAUUUAAGAUAAUCUGUCAUUUUGGAAUUUGUGAAGUUUUUGGUGGUCAACCUUGAAUUUCAUAAGAAAAGAUCAACAGUAGUACUUAUUCGUGGUCGCCACUUCUAAUUUUCUUUAUGGAGCAGCAUUCUGUAAUACAUCAGCUGUAAAGACAAAUAACAUUUUUGUUUAUAUCAAUUACACAGCAAGUUACUCUUGUUGCAUAUCA